rnacentral:rRNA from 1 species
CCUACGGGGGGCAGCAGUGAGGAAUAUUGGUCAAUGGGCGGAAGCCUGAACCAACCAAGUCGCGUGAGGGAAUAAGGCCCUACGGGUCGUAAACCUCUUUUGCCGGGGAGCAAGGGCCGGGACGCGUCCCGGCCCGGAGAGUACCCGGAGAAAAAGCAUCGGCUAACUCCGUGCCAGCAGCCGCGGUAAUACGGAGGAUGCGAGCGUUAUCCGGAUUUAUUGGGUUUAAAGGGUGCGUAGGCGGGCUUUUAAGUCAGCAGUAAAAAUUCGGGGCUCAACCCCGUCCGGCCGUUGAAACUGGGGGC